AUCCAUAGGUUAAUGAGGCGAACCGGGGGAACUGAAACAUCUAAGUACCCCGAGGAAAAGAAAUCAACCGAGAUUCCCCCAGUAGCGGCGAGCGAACGGGGAGGAGCCCAGAGCCUGAAUCAGUGUGUGUGUUAGUGGAAGCGUCUGGAAAGGCGCGCGAUACAGGGUGACAGCCCCGUACACAAAAAUGCACAUGCUGUGAGCUCGAUGAGUAGGGCGGGACACGUGGUAUCCUGUCUGAAUAUGGGGGGACCAUCCUCCAAGGCUAAAUACUCCUGACUGACCGAUAGUGAACCAGUACCGUGAGGGAAAGGCGAAAAGAACCCCGGCGAGGGGAGUGAAAAAGAACCUGAAACCGUGUACGUACAAGCAGUGGGAGCACAGAGCAAUCUGUGUGACUGCGUACCUUUUGUAUAAUGGGUCAGCGACUUAUAUUCUGUAGCAAGGUUAACCGAAUAGGGGAGCCGAAGGGAAACCGAGUCUUAACUGGGCGUUAAGUUGCAGGGUAUAGACCCGAAACCCGGUGAUCUAGCCAUGGGCAGGUUGAAGGUUGGGUAACACUAACUGGAGGACCGAACCGACUAAUGUUGAAAAAUUAGCGGAUGACUUGUGGCUGGGGGUGAAAGGCCAAUCAAACCGGGAGAUAGCUGGUUCUCCCCGAAAGCUAUUUAGGUAGCGCCUCGUGAAUUCAUCUCCGGGGGUAGAGCACUGUUUCGGCAAGGGGGUCAUCCCGACUUACCAACCCGAUGCAAACUGCGAAUACCGGAGAAUGUUAUCACGGGAGACACACGGCGGGUGCUAACGUCCGUCGUGAAGAGGGAAACAACCCAGACCGCCAGCUAAGGUCCCAAAGUCAUGGUUAAGUGGGAAACGAUGUGGGAAGGCCCAGACAGCCAGGAUGUUGGCUUAGAAGCAGCCAUCAUUUAAAGAAAGCGUAAUAGCUCACUGGUCGAGUCGGCCUGCGCGGAAGAUGUAACGGGGCUAAACCAUGCACCGAAGCUGCGGCAGCGACACUGUGUGUUGUUGGGUAGGGGAGCGUUCUGUAAGCCUGUGAAGGUGUGCUGUGAGGCAUGCUGGAGGUAUCAGAAGUGCGAAUGCUGACAUAAGUAACGAUAAAGCGGGUGAAAAGCCCGCUCGCCGGAAGACCAAGGGUUCCUGUCCAACGUUAAUCGGGGCAGGGUGAGUCGACCCCUAAGGCGAGGCCGAAAGGCGUAGUCGAUGGGAAACAGGUUAAUAUUCCUGUACUUGGUGUUACUGCGAAGGGGGGACGGAGAAGGCUAUGUUGGCCGGGCGACGGUUGUCCCGGUUUAAGCGUGUAGGCUGGUUUUCCAGGCAAAUCCGGAAAAUCAAGGCUGAGGCGUGAUGACGAGGCACUACGGUGCUGAAGCAACAAAUGCCCUGCUUCCAGGAAAAGCCUCUAAGCAUCAGGUAACAUCAAAUCGUACCCCAAACCGACACAGGUGGUCAGGUAGAGAAUACCAAGGCGCUUGAGAGAACUCGGGUGAAGGAACUAGGCAAAAUGGUGCCGUAACUUCGGGAGAAGGCACGCUGAUAUGUAGGUGAAGUCCCUCGCGGAUGGAGCUGAAAUCAGUCGAAGAUACCAGCUGGCUGCAACUGUUUAUUAAAAACACAGCACUGUGCAAACACGAAAGUGGACGUAUACGGUGUGACGCCUGCCCGGUGCCGGAAGGUUAAUUGAUGGGGUCAGCGCAAGCGAAGCUCUUGAUCGAAGCCCCGGUAAACGGCGGCCGUAACUAUAACGGUCCUAAGGUAGCGAAAUUCCUUGUCGGGUAAGUUCCGACCUGCACGAAUGGCGUAAUGAUGGCCAGGCUGUCUCCACCCGAGACUCAGUGAAAUUGAACUCGCUGUGAAGAUGCAGUGUACCCGCGGCAAGACGGAAAGACCCCGUGAACCUUUACUAUAGCUUGACACUGAACAUUGAGCCUUGAUGUGUAGGAUAGGUGGGAGGCUUUGAAGUGUGGACGCCAGUCUGCAUGGAGCCGACCUUGAAAUACCACCCUUUAAUGUUUGAUGUUCUAACGUGGACCCGUGAUCCGGGUUGCGGACAGUGUCUGGUGGGUAGUUUGACUGGGGCGGUCUCCUCCUAAAGAGUAACGGAGGAGCACGAAGGUUGGCUAAUCCUGGUCGGACAUCAGGAGGUUAGUGCAAUGGCAUAAGCCAGCUUGACUGCGAGCGUGACGGCGCGAGCAGGUGCGAAAGCAGGUCAUAGUGAUCCGGUGGUUCUGAAUGGAAGGGCCAUCGCUCAACGGAUAAAAGGUACUCCGGGGAUAACAGGCUGAUACCGCCCAAGAGUUCAUAUCGACGGCGGUGUUUGGCACCUCGAUGUCGGCUCAUCACAUCCUGGGGCUGAAGUAGGUCCCAAGGGUAUGGCUGUUCGCCAUUUAAAGUGGUACGCGAGCUGGGUUUAGAACGUCGUGAGACAGUUCGGUCCCUAUCUGCCGUGGGCGCUGGAGAACUGAGGGGGGCUGCUCCUAGUACGAGAGGACCGGAGUGGACGCAUCACUGGUGUUCGGGUUGUCAUGCCAAUGGCACUGCCCGGUAGCUAAAUGCGGAAGAGAUAAGUGCUGAAAGCAUCUAAGCACGAAACUUGCCCCGAGAUGAGUUCUCCCUGACCCUUUAAGGGUCCUGAAGGAACGUUGAAGACGACGACGUUGAUAGGCCGGGUGUGUAAGCGCAGCGAUGCGUUGAGCUAACCGGUACUAAUGAACCGUGAGGCUUAACCUUACAACGCCGAAGGUGUUU
rnacentral:rRNA from 1 species